UUGGCAUUCAGAUCGUGGGCCAACCCUCUCCAAUGACAGAGCAACAGUGAAGUCUGGGACUCACCAAGUGCCCUACAGCCAAUACAGUACUUGACACCGUGUGGAUAAGAUUUGUGAAAUGGUUGAAGGAAAGACCUGGGGUUUGAGCCCAGAGCCCAGUGCAAGUCAAUGACAGCAGGGACAAGCUUGAGGAGGAAGGUGAAUCUGAAACAGGGUGACAUCAGCAAUGGCAGGGCCUGGUGACUGGAGUCCCUUUGCCUGGAGGGGA
rnacentral:lncRNA from 1 species